CAGCAGAUCAGAAGUGUGGUGAAUAACAAAUCUGUCAAGCAUGUUAUCCUAGAAAUGAGUACCUUAAAUUUUGUGCGGUAAGAUCUAUAAAUGUUAUAAAAUAAUGAUAAGCAAUACUGAAAACUGAAUAAUUUAGUAUUAGAAUAGUAAAUCUGUGGAACAAGUGCAGAAGUCGAAGCAGCAGUAUUGCACUUCGUUAAUAGUUUAAAAGGAUUUGCCAUUUCAAGUGCCACAUCUGCGAGAGUUGUAGGAUACUUCAUUUCUUCAAACAAUUGUGGAGUGACUGAAAGGGCUGGGACUUCCAUGGCAAAGAGGAAGGGACAUCAUCCAUCUUCAGAGGGGAUCUUCUUCCACUGUAGGUCUCAAAAAGGAAAAAAGACCAUACACAGGAAAUCUCGCUAGGUCCCAGCACCAGGGAUGAGAUCACUUCCAUUUCCUGCGCCAUGGAUGAUGUCACUUCUGGUAUCAAAGACAUCACUUCUGCAUUUGGUGCUAGUGAUGUCACUUCUGGUCGAG